rnacentral:lncRNA from 1 species
AAGGUGGCCGGCCUUUGAUGUGUUUUAGAGAGAUAUUUCUUUUGCCUCUUUGUUGUUUUAAACACACAAAAACCCUAAUGAACAAUAUCUCUAUAAAGUUCCUUAUAUAGACAAAAGAAACCUAGUCAACAACUUGACUAAAUAUCUCACUUCUUUGCCUUAAACACACAAACCCUUGAACAAUAUCUCUAUAAAGUUCUUAUAUAGACAAAGAAACCUAGUCAACAACUUGACUAAAUAUCUCACCUCUUUCACCUUAAAGUGGCCGGCCCUCUUUGUGUUGUUUGGGCUUUAGGCUUUCAUUUAUUUCAAGUCAUCCAAUGCUUGAAUAAAAGCCCAAUGGGCCCAAUUAAACCCGAAAGUUUCUUUAAGCCCAAAACGAUCUUUAUCGCUUUUAUGAUUUCGUUAGACUUU